UCUCAAGACAGUCACUGGACAAUGGCUGACACACUUGUCUGAAGACUGGAAAUGUUUCUCGAUCUUGGAGAGGAAAGAAGGACCCUCCAACUACACUGAACUCUAAGGAAGUUUAUUCAGUGCCCAUUCAACAUCACUCUGUCCCUGAAGAGGAACUCAAGGUCUGCCCCCUGCUGCCUGUGAGCCAGGAAGAGG
rnacentral:lncRNA from 14 species